GAGAGGAGAGGAGAGGAGAGGAGGUUGCUCUGGACGUGGGAGCAGGGAAAAGGGAAAUGGAAGAGAGUGGGAAAUGGAAAAGACACUGUGAAGAUGUUCUUUACAAACUGUCACAAUGCCCUCCACUUAAAUAUUUGUAGAGCAGCUAUGGAACACCAGUGAUAGAGGGGAGGCAACAGAUGGCAGAAUUCAGAACAUUUGUUCUUGGGUUUGCUUCAAAAUCCCUGAGCUCUUUGGACAGUCCAUUCCCAAGCAGCAAGGGAAGGACUGUGGAGAAAAAAUUGGCAUAAUUUUAUCUUCUGCUUUUUUGCAGCUGCCAGCUUACCUGUUGUUUAGUGAAGACAUCACUCCAAGAACCUCCGUGCAGGCUGAGAGCAGCACAUCACAAGGGAAACCCAUGAGAAAAACCUGCUUGGGAUCUGUGUGGUUUCUGUGUGCUCGCUCCUUGAACCUCAAUGCUUUGUGUAGCACCGAGCAGUGACAGAGUUAUGUCAACCUCUCUGCUUCACUGGGCACAUUUGUUCUCUCAAAACCAACACAGCAGCUGGAGGCACUGACAUCUGAAACACUCCUGGCUCCCUGUGCAGCAGAGCCCCUCUUUGGGCUGGGUGGGGAGCACUGAGUGCCUGGCACUGAACUCAAGCCAGAAAAGCAGGUGCUCCAGGAUAAUGAAACCUCAGCCAAAACGAAAAAUAAAAUCCUUGGCUAGGAACA